UACGUAGGGUGCGAGCGUUGUCCGGAAUUAUUGGGCGUAAAGAGCUCGUAGGCGGUGUGUCACGUCGGCCGUGAAAACCUGCAGCUUAACUGUGGGCGUGCGGUCGAUACGGGCAUCACUGGAGUUCGGCAGGGGAGACUGGAAUUCCUGGUGUAGCGGUGAAAUGCGCAGAUAUCAGGAGGAACACCGGGUGGCGAAGGCGGGUCUCUGGGACGGUACUGACGACUGGAGACGCGAAAGCGUGGGGAGCGAACAGG
rnacentral:rRNA from 1 species